rnacentral:rRNA from 1 species
CUACGGGAGGCAGCAGUAAGGAAUAUUGGGCAAUGGGCGAAAGCCUGACCCAGCAACGCCGCGUGCACGAUGAAGGCCUUCGGGUCGUAAAGUGCUUUUCUGAGGAAUGAGUAAGGACAGUACCUCAGGAAUAAGCCUCGGCUAACUACGUGCCAGCAGCCGCGGUAAAACGUAGGAGGCGAGCGUUAUCCGGAUUUACUGGGCGUAAAGCGUGUGCAGGCGGUUCGGCAAGUUGGAUGUGAAAGCUCCUGGCUUAACUAGGAGAGGUCGUUCAAUACUACCGAACUUGAAGGCAUCAGAGGAAGAUGGAAUUCCCGGUGUAGUGGUGAAAUGCGUAGAUAUCGGGAGGAACACCAGUGGCGAAGGCGGUCUUCUGGGAUGCUCUUGACGCUCAUACACGAAAGCUAGGGUAGCGAACGGGAUUAGAUACCCCUGUAGUCCA